AACGAACGCUGGCGGUAGGCUUAACACAUGCAAGUCGAACGCCCCGCAAGGGGAGUGGCAGACGGGUGAGUAACGCGUGGGAACAUACCCUUUCCUGCGGAAUAGCUCUGGGAAACUGGAAUUAAUACCGCAUACGCCCUACGGGGGAAAGAUUUAUCGGGGAAGGAUUGGCCCGCGUUGGAUUAGCUCGUUGGUGGGGUAAAGGCCUACCAAGGCGACGAUCCAUAGCUGGUCUGAGAGGAUGAUCAGCCACACUGGGACUGAGACACGGCCCAGACUCCUACGGGAGGCAGCAGUGGGGAAUAUUGGACAAUGGGCGAAAGCCUGAUCCAGCAAUGCCGCGUGAGUGAUGAAGGCCUUAGGGUUGUAAAGCUCUUUUACCCGGGAUGAUAAUGACAGUACCGGGAGAAUAAGCCCCGGCUAACUCCGUGCCAGCCGCCGCCGUAAGAC
rnacentral:rRNA from 1 species